rnacentral:snRNA from 1 species
GUGCUGGCUUUGGCAGCACAUAUACUAAAAUUGGAACAAUACAGAGAAGAUUAGCA